UGCAGUCGAGCGGGGACGGAUGGUAGCUUGCUACCGUUUGUUUCUAGCGGCGGACGGGUGAGUAACGCGUGAGCAACCUGCCUUUAUCAGGGGGAUAACGCAUCGAAAGAUGUGCUAAUACCGCGUAAGACCACAGCUUCACAUGGAGCAGGGGUCAAAGGAGCAAUCCGGAUAAAGAUGGGCUCGCGUCCGAUUAGCUAGUUGGUGAGAUAACAGCCCACCAAGGCGACGAUCGGUAGCCGACCUGAGAGGGUGAUCGGCCACAUUGGAACUGAGAGACGGUCCAGACUCCUACGGGAGGCAGCAGUGGGGAAUAUUGGGCAAUGGGCGAAAGCCUGACCCAGCAACGCCGCGUGAGGGAAGAAGGGUUUCGGCUCGUAAACCUCUGUCCUAUGGGACGAAGGAAGUGACGGUACCAUAGGAGGAAGCCCCGGCUAACUACGUGCCAGCAGCCGCGGUAAUACGUAGGGGGCGAGCGUUGUCCGGAAUGAUUGGGCGUAAAGGGCGCGUAGGCGGCCUGCUAAGUCUGGAGUGAAAGUCCUGCUUUCAAGGUGGGAAUUGCUUUGGAUGCUGGUGGGCUGGAGUGCAGGAGAGGAAAGCGGAAUUACCGGUGUAGCGGUGAAAUGCGUAGAGAUCGGUAGGAACACCAGUGGCGAAGGCGGCUUUCUGGACUGAAACUGACGCUGAGGCGCGAAAGCGUGGGGAGCAAACAGGAUUA
rnacentral:rRNA from 1 species